rnacentral:tRNA from 1 species
GAGGAGAUAGUUUAGUGGUAAAACACAUGCCUAGCAUGCAUAAGGCCCUGGGUUCAAUCCCCAACACCACA